GCCCCAGUGGCGAAAUGGUAGACGCGGCAGACUCAAAAUCUGUUGCUCGAGAGAGCGUGCUGGUUCGAGUCCGGCCUGGGGCACCA
rnacentral:tRNA from 1 species